rnacentral:rRNA from 1 species
UAGACCGAUAGCGAACAAGUAGAGUGAUCGAAAGAUGAAAAGCACUUUGAAAAGAGAGUUAAAAAGCACGUGAAAUUGUUGAAAGGGAAGCGCUUGCGACCAGACUCGCCCGCGGGGUUCAGCCGGCAUUCGUGCCGGUGUACUUCCCCGUGGGCGGGCCAGCGUCGGUUUGGGCGGCCGGUCAAAGGCCUCCGGAAUGUAGCACCCUUCGGGGUGCCUUAUAGCCGGGGGUGCAAUGCGGCCAGCCUGGACCGAGGAACGCGCUUCGGCACGGACGCUGGCAUAAUGGUCGUAAACGACCCGUCUUGAAACACGGACCAAGACU